rnacentral:rRNA from 1 species
AGUAACGCGUAGGUAACCUACCUCAUAGCGGGGGAUAACUAUUGGAAACGAUAGCUAAUACCGCAUAAGAGAGACUAACGCAUGUUAGUAAUUUAAAAGGGGCAAUUGCUCCACUAUGAGAUGGACCUGCGUUGUAUUAGCUAGUUGGUGAGGUAAAGGCUCACCAAGGCGACGAUACAUAGCCGACCUGAGAGGGUGAUCGGCCACACUUGGACUGAGACACGGCCCAG